rnacentral:tRNA from 1 species
CGGAUGUGGCUCAGUUGGUAGAGCAUAACCUUGCCAAGGUUGGGGUCGCGGGUUCGAGUCCCGUCAUCCG